rnacentral:tRNA from 1 species
GUUCCUAUCGUCUAAUAGGAUUAGGACGCUACUCUUUCACAGUAACAAUACGGGUUCAAGUCCCGUUAGGAACA